GGCUACCUGGCGCAAUGGUAGCGCGUUUGGCUUCGAUUGCUUAACGCCACCAAAAGGUUGCAGGUUCGAGUCCUGCGGUGGUCA
rnacentral:tRNA from 1 species